AUGGAGUGUACUGUCUGAAACAUUGAGCCCACCUGUUCUUCUUGGAACCCAAAUUCACUCAUCGGAGAUCUACCUAAAUCAUUAUGUUGCCAAGCUUCAAAGGAUCGAUGAGGGUCUUGAAGAGGGUCAGAACACUCCAAGCGGACCACCUUGCUUUCAAGAUGGUAGAGAUUGAACUGAAACGGUCAAAUGAGAACAGCUGCCUCAAACCAUCAGGAGAAGACUGGUUGGAUGCUUCAGACUACCCGAAAAGGAAUUCAUUAAGUUGCCAUGCUAAACAGGGUUGGCUGCUGCUAGCACAGACGAUGAAAGCAUGCCAACAAAAGAACACAUCGGUGAAGGUUCUACAAGAUAGAUUGUCCUGACAUUGUGAGGUUGCCACGCACGACGUCCUUAAACAGGGUUGCCUGCUGCUAGCAGUGAUGAUGGUGAAGGGUCUACAACAUUGAUUACCGUGACUCCAUUGAAGGUAUGUGCACAUUCAAUGAACCUUUGUGAUUUUAUUACAGUUUUAUUUUUCUCAAGCCACAACUGUGCCAUCUCUGAAAGGCAAAAUGUUUAAUCCCUCAAAACCUGCUAAGCUGAAUAAAUUUUCAAGUCGCUACAAGUUCACCACCCAAUGAUUGUGCAACCUUGUGAACAUAUCAAUGGAUGGUCCCGCCUUUCAAAAUCUAAUCAAACUCGCUACUCUGAAAUUUGUAUUCUCACUUAAUACUGGAUGCCUUUGAUAAUUUGUCAAAACUCCUGUUGUCCAGUUUUGUGGCA